rnacentral:rRNA from 1 species
UACAGAGGUCCCAAGCGUUGUUCGGAUUCACUGGGCGUAAAGGGUGCGUAGGUGGUGAGGUAAGUCGGAUGUGAAAGCUCGGAGCUCAACUCCGAAAUGGCAUUGGAAACUACCUUGCUCGAGGGUUGGAGGGGGGACUGGAAUGCUUGGUGUAGCAGUGAAAUGCGUAGAUAUCAAGCGGAACACCAGUGGCGAAGGCGGGUCUCUGGGCCGAUACUGACGCUGAGGAGCGAAAGCGUGGGGAGCGAACAGG